CCUACGGGUGGCAGCAGUAGGGAAUCUUCCACAAUGGGCGAAAGCCUGAUGCAGCCACGCCGCGUGGGUGAAGAAGGUCUUCGGAUCGUAAAACCCUGUUGUUAGAGAAGAAAGUGCGUGAGAGUAACUGUUCACGUUUCGACGGUAUCUAACCAGAAAGCCACGGCUAACUACGUGCCAGCAGCCGCGGUAAUACGUAGGUGGCAAGCGUUAUCCGGAUUUAUUGGGCGUAAAGGGAACGCAGGCGGUCUUUUAAGUCUGAUGUGAAAGCCUUCGGCUUAACCGGAGUAGUGCAUUGGAAACUGGGAGACUUGAGUGCAGAAGAGGAGAGUGGAACUCGAGGUGUAGCGGUGAAAUGCGUAGAUAUAUGGAAGAACACCAGUGGCGAAGGCGGCUAUCUGGUCUGUAACUGACGCUGAGGUUCGAAAGCGUGGGUAGCAAACAGGAUUAGAUACCCCAGUAGUC
rnacentral:rRNA from 1 species